ACGGGAGCUUGCUCCUUGAUUCAGCGGCGGACGGGUGAGUAAUGCCUAGGAAUCUGCCUGGUAGUGGGGGACAACGUUUCGAAAGGAACGCUAAUACCGCAUACGUCCUACGGGAGAAAGCAGGGGACCUUCGGGCCUUGCGCUAUCAGAUGAGCCUAGGUCGGAUUAGCUUGUUGGUGAGGUAAUGGCUCACCAAGGCGACGAUCCGUAACUGGUCUGAGAGGAUGAUCAGUCACACUGGAACUGAGACACGGUCCAGACUCCUACGGGAGGCAGCAGUGGGGAAUAUUGGACAAUGGGCGAAAGCCUGAUCCAGCCAUGCCGCGUGUGUGAAGAAGGUCUUCGGAUUGUAAAGCACUUUAAGUUGGGAGGAAGGGUUGUAGAUUAAUACUCUGCAAUUUUGACGUUACCGACAGAAUAAGCACCGGCUAACUCUGUGCCAGCAGCCGCGGUGAUACAGAGGGUGCAAGCGUUAAUCGGAAUUACUGGGCGUAAAGCGCGCGUAGGUGGUUUGUUAAGUUGGAUGUGAAAGCCCCGGGCUCAACCUGGGAACUGCAUCCAAAACUGGCAAGCUAGAGUACGGUAGAGGGUGGUGGAAUUUCCUGUGUAGCGGUGAAAUGCGUAGAUAUAGGAAGGAACACCAGUGGCGAAGGCGACCACCUGGACUGAUACUGACACUGAGGUGCGAAAGCGUGGGGAGCAAACAGGAUUAGAUACCCUGGUAGUCCACGCCGUAAACGAUGUCAACUAGCCGUUGGAAUCCUUGAGAUUUUAGUGGCGCAGCU
rnacentral:rRNA from 1 species